CAGACCUGAAGUACUGUGGGUACACAAGUGGUUCCUGGUUCACAGAGGAGACUCUUAUUCUUAAUUUCUUUUGGCCACAAGGGAGAGGAACACAGGCUUCCUGAGUCUGGACAGGAGAGGAGGCCACCGGAGCUGGGAGUUCCAGUCACCUCGCCUGGAUUCAUGACUCCCUGAGCUCGAAAGGGCAACACAUUUCGUCCGGGAGGAGCACCUGAACACCAUUUCUUAAACUUGAACGUGUGUAAAAGGCACCCGAGAGCUUUGCACGGCUUCCUAGGCCCCAGUCUCAGAGCUUCUCAUUGGGUCCGUCCCUGGUGGGGCCCGGGAUUCUGCAUUUCUAACCAGACACCCCCGCUCCACAGACCACAGAGGAAUCAGCCCUGACCUGGAAACCCACAGACCCCUGCCUACUGCGUCGGAAGGACAGUACGCCGGGCUCCUGAUGUCAUCCCUCAGAGCCUGCGGGCAGUGCCAAGCUCCAGGCUUCUCCAGGGGACGUGCCCCUGAGCCCGGGGCUCCCGAUGGUGAGGAAAUGGCUGAGCCAAAGGUCCAGAGCCCUUCCAAGGGAGAAGAAAGCUGCCACUGACCACCCAGAUGCCUCCCAUGCCAAAGCCCCAAAGAAGCAAGACACCCACCGACUCAUGGCGGUACGUCUUAACCAUACAAUCGAUGAUGCCCCGGUAUGUGGUCUGGGUCUGUAGCCGCACCU